UGAUGGCAUUCCAUUCCUUCCUUGAAGUCCAACACACAGAGUAAUAGAAAUCUCAUGAAUGUGAUUGUGUGAGGUGGCUCAUAAUACUUGGAUCUAUAGAGAGAAUCACUUAACAGACAUUAGUUGAAUCAGAAACUACUUCUCAUUUCAUUGAGUUCUAUGCAGUCCCCAACCUUUGUGGCACCAGGGACUGGUUUUGUGGAAGACAAUAUUUCCAUGGACAGGGGAGCAGGGGAUGGUUUUAGGAUUGUAAUGGUUAAUAAUAGAUGUCAACUUAAUUGGAUUGAAGGAUGCCUAGAUAAUUGGUAAAGAAUAGUUUCUGGGUGUGUCAGUGAGGGUGUUGUGGAGGAGAUUAACAUUUGAGUCGGACUGGGAGAGGAAGACCCAUCCUCAACGUGGGUGGACACCAUCCAAUUGACUGUCAGCUUGGCUAGAACAAAGCUGGUGGAAGAAGGUGGGAUAAGCUGACUUAACAAGUCUUCUGGCUUUCAUCAUUCUGCUGUGCUGGAUGCUUCCUGCCCUUGGACAUCAGACUCCAGGUUCUUUAGGCUUUGGACACUUGAACUUACAGCAGUGGUUUUCCAGGAGCUUUCAGGCCCUUGGCCACAGACUAAAUGUUGCACUGCCAACUUUCCUACUUUUGAGGCUUUUGUAGUUGAACUAAGCCUUUGUUGGCUUCCUUGCCCCUUAGCUUGCAGACAGCCUAUCAUGGGACUUCACCUUGUGACUGUAUAAGUCAAUUCUCAUUAAUAAACUCCUUUUCAUAUAUACAUAUAUCUUAUAAGUUCUGUCCCUCUGGAGAACCCUGACUAAUACAGGGAUGAAACUGUUCCACCUCAGAUCAUCGGGCAUUAGAUUCUCAUGAGGUAUGCACAACCUAGAUCCCUUGCAUGCUCAGUUCAUAAUAGGGUUCACAUUACUAUAAGAAUCUAAUUCUGUAGCUGAUUCGACAGAAGGCAGAGCUUAGGUGGUAAUGCUCACUCACCUGCCACUCACCUCCUGCUGUAUGAUCUGAUUCCUAACUAGCCAUAGCUCAUUACCAAGGGUUGAGGACCACUGUGUUAAAAGAUAAACUAAGGCACAAUAAAAUUUUAAAUAUGUUAUUUACACAAUGAUUUAUGACUCAGGCAGCUCCAAACCAUAAAAGUGGCUUAAGAGCUCCACUGAGGGAGCACAGGGGGAGGCUUUUAGAGGACAGGCACAGAUAAUGUUUGACUAUUUAUAGUUGUACAGUUAUUUGUACCUUAUUUGGUACCAAAGUUGUACCUUACUAGGUCUAUCCCAUUGGAAAGUCUUCAGUUAUAUGAUUAGGUGUGUUGGCUACUUCUGAUUGGUUGAACUUAAGUUCUGUUUUUCUUUAACAUAGAAAUUGAUAAGAAUAGCUCAAGUUUCCCUUAUAUCUGUAGAUCAAUCAAGGUUUAGAUCACUUAUGAUGCCUAACUGCUUUUGUCUGCUCAGAAAUUCUUCAGGCCUGGACUCCAUUUUAAUUUACUUUAAUGAUUGUUACUUUAAAUUUGGAUUAAACAGUGGAUUCAUAUGUACUGAGUGGAAAAAAAAUGGAAAUAGAUGUUAUAAAAUUUAUUUGAAAUCAUUCAGCCAGGAUGUUUUAAACAGCAUACAUUAGCAGAAUUACCAAAAACACAUUUUGAAAAAACCUUGAAGCAAUUUUAAUGUAUUGCAAAAUGUUAAGGAGACUAGUGGGACAAAAACUUAAAGGUUGAGUUUGAGAUAUGAUGCAGGGUUUUUUGCUCCUUAGCCCAGCUAGGCCUAAGUUCUGAAGAAGUAGGCACAUGGACACUCAAAGAAUAAGUGUAGUAGAAUUUAUUUAGUGAAAGGAAAGCUCUCAGCAAAGAGAGGGGUCCUGAUGUCAAGUUCUUGGUUGCCCCCUUAAUGGUUGAAUACAAGGGCAUUUUUUUUUUUUUUCUUGAGACAGAAACUCACUCUGUUGCCGAGGCUGGAGUGCAAUGACGUGAUCUCGGCUCACUAUAACCUCUGCCUUCCAGGUUCAAGCAAUUCUCCUGCAUCAGCCUCCUGAGUAGCUGGGAUUACUGGCACACGUCACCAGGCCCGGAUAAUUUUUGUAUUUUUAGUAGAGAUGGGAUUUACCAUGUUGGUCAGGCUGGUCUCCAACUCCUGAUCUAGUGAUCUGCCCGCCUCCGCCUCCCGAAGUGUUUGGAUUACAGGUGUGAGCUACCGCACCUGGCAACAAGGACAUUUUUAUACAAGCUGAUCAGGCUGUGAAUUCCUGGUUGUAUGAGACGUGAAUUCCUGGUUGCUCCACUCCAUCUUUCCGGAGUGGAGACCCCAAAUUCUGUUGGGGAAAGUGUACAACGACUGCUCUUAACUGCUUCCUGCCGACAAGGGGUGCUGUUUUGGGAAACUGGCAGUUAAGGCUCCUCCUGAGAGACGGGGUUUCACCGUGUCAGCCAGGAUGGUCUCCAUCUCCCGACCUCGUGAUCCGCCUGCCUUGGCCUCCCAAAGUGCUGGGAUUACAGGCGUGAGCCACUGCACCCGGACCUGGUAAGAACUUUUACCCUUUUGCUGGCGUACCAGGCUUCUGAGUUGCCCUUUUUCAUGCUCAGUUUUGAGCCAAGCAGUUUAAGGUUUGGGGAAAUUAACUUUUCCCAGUUUAAGGGAUGCAUCCGAAGGGAGUGUCCUGUGGUACAGAGACACAAUGACCCACCCACAAAGAGAGGACAGAGGAGGAAAAAGGAGAAAGGAGGUGUUUUUUCAGAGGAGUCCUAGUGAUUCAGGAGGCAAUCAAGAGAAAUAUGGGCUGCAGAUGAUUGGUUACCCACCUAAGAAGAGGGGAGCAAGGCAUCCCUAGUUUCUUCUUUUUCCUAGUAAAUACCUGAGGUACAUGAGGGAGAGGAGAAAAGUGUCCUCUUUCUUUCUUCUGUUCUUAUAUCCCUGAGUCCUGGUGAUCUUGGCAGGUUACCACCCAUGGGUGCCAAUGCAGCUUUCACCUAUGUUAACAGGGGCCUUACAGGGUGCGAGUUAUCCACCAUUACCCAUGCGCUGCUUGUCCCACUGUUGUCGAUAACCUUUGAGUUCCCUAGAUUUCAUGCAUGCCAUGGAUACUAGAAUGACCUCUAUCCACGAGAUGGAAGGGGGCCUAAUCCGCAGAAAUUAGUCAUGCUAACCUAAAGCUUUGGAGCUGGGUCUUCCUUAAACAAGGGAGAGAAAAGGCUAUCUUGGGAAUUGGGGUCCUGGCCUAAUAAGAAAAAAAAAAAAAAAAAAAAAAAACCUCUCAUAAAAGUUAACUCCUUACAAAGUGGAG